rnacentral:rRNA from 1 species
AUUGAACGCUGGCGGCAUGCUUUACACAUGCAAGUCGAACGGUAACAGGCCGCAAGGUGCUGACGAGUGGCACGGGUGAGUAAUGCAUCGGAACGUGCCCAGUCGUGGGGGAUAACGCAGCGAAAGCGGUGCUAAUACCGCAUACGAGCUAUGGAUGAAAGCGGGGGACCGUAAGGCCUCGCGCGAUUGGCGCGGCCGAUGUCAGAUUAGGUAGUUGGUGGGGUAAAGGCUCACCAAGCCAACGAUCUGUAGUUGGUCUGAGAGGACGACCAGCCACACUGGGACUGAGACACGGCCCAGACUCCUACGGGAGGCAGCAGUGGGGAAUUUUGGACAAUGGGCGCAAGCCUGAUCCAGCAAUGCCGCGUGCAGGAAGAAGGCCUUCGGGUUGUAAACUGCUUUUGUACGGAACGAAAAGGUUUGGGUUAAUACCCUGGGCCGAUGACGGUACCGUAAGAAUAAGCACCGGCUAACUACGUGCCAGCCGCCGCAGUAA